CAGUAGCCACGGUAAUACGGAGGGUCCGAGCGUUAAUCGGAAUUACUGGGCGUAAAGCGUGCGCAGGCGGUUUGUUAAGCGAGAUGUGAAAGCCCUGGGCUCAACCUAGGAAUAGCAUUUCGAACUGGCGAACUAGAGUCUUGUAGAGGGGGGUAGAAUUCCAGGUGUAGCGGUGAAAUGCGUAGAGAUCUGGAGGAAUACCGGUGGCGAAGGCGGCCCCCUGGACAAAGACUGACGCUCAUGCACGAAAGCGUGGGGAGCAAACAGGAUUAGAUACCCGAGUAGUCCCUGUCUCUUAUAC
rnacentral:rRNA from 1 species